rnacentral:rRNA from 1 species
UCCGUAGGCGGUGCGGCAAGUCGGAAGUGAAAUCUCUGGGCUUAACUCAGAGGCUGCUUCCGAAACUGCCGUGCUCGAGUGCGAGAGAGGCAAGUGGAAUUGCGGGUGUAGCGGUGAAAUGCGUAGAUAUCCGCAGGAACAUCCGAGGCGAAGCGGCUUGCUGGAUCGCAACUGACGCUGAGGGACGAAAGCUAGGGGAGCAAACAGGAUUAGAUACCCUGGUAGUCCUAGCCCUAAACCAUCAGGACUUGGGGUUUGCCCUGUACGGGGCAAGUCCCGGAGCUAACGCGUUAAGUCCUGCGCCUGGGGAGUACGGUCGCAAGGCUGAA